GUUGAUGGUGUAUCUUUAUCAUAUUCAUCUCUACCAAAUGAAGGUUUUGUAAAAAUUACAACUGACAGUGGGAUCAAGAAUGUUUGUUGGCAAUGUUUAGGAAACGCAAAGGAUGUUGUUUGUCGUGAAUUGGGUUACAAACAAGCAGACUCACUGGUUGAAAAGGCCGCUCCAUCGGAUUUAAAAGAUGAAAAAUUUUCUGGAAGUAUUAUAUAGCUUGUAAUGAUGGUGAUACAAAAUUAUCCCAAUGUUCGGUUACCACUUCUUCCCAAAGUUGUUCGACAUUCUCGUACUUAAAAUGUA
rnacentral:lncRNA from 1 species